rnacentral:rRNA from 1 species
UACGGAGGGUGCAAGCGUUAUCCGGAUUUACUGGGUUUAAAGGGUGUGUAGGCGGACUUUUAAGUCAGCGGUGAAAUCUCCGGGCUCAACCCGGAAACUGCCAUUGAUACUAUUGGUCUUGAAUGUUGUUGAGGUGGGCGGAACGGGUCAUGUAGCGGUGAAAUGCAUAGAUAUGACCCGGAACACCGAUUGCGUAGGCAGCCCACUAAGCAACGAUUGACGCUGAGGCACGAAAGCGUGGGGAGCGAACAGG